UAUCACACAGGCUCUAAUGGAAAGACAAAUCAAGAUCAGGUGGAACUUCCCAUUUGCUUUAACAGUGACCUAUAAGGAUAAGACCCACACCAUUACUACGCCAGCGGAUAUACCCGACUUCCAGAGGGACUUGAAUCUGCCACCAUCCGAGGUGGAGGACUGGACCGGCCUGUCAGGUCCCCCACCAAAGCAGACGCAGCAACGACCUAAAUGGCAGAGAACCCUGAGGAAGAGACCCAAAAAGGAACCGAUGCCCAUGCCUCGCCUGGAGACAAAGCAACCUAAGCACCGGCAUGGUCAAACAAGCAUAUCCUUUGUGUUAAUUCUAAACUCUGUGCCUUAAAUUUGCACUAAACUGUGUAUAAGAUUAAGAUGUUAUACUAUCCUAUUGCCAAUGUUAUGUUAUGUUUAUAGAAUGUAGAAUAUGCCGCUACCAGGCCCCUCUGGCCCUAGACACCAGCAGCACGGUUAUAAGUGAGUUAAAAGGGCCCACAGGGACCUGGCCUACAGGGUGAAGACAGGCCUAUAACCUGUCCCCCACUCCCUUACUAGCUAGAGGAGUGGGGGGCAUAGCAUAAAAUUGUCAAUCACCCUAAGGGAACCCCUGCUGGCCCUCGGUCAGGCCACCUUGGUCACCACCCCCAGAGAGGCGCCCCGACACAACUUGUGGAAAUGAGAAAGUUACCCACAAGUGGACCGCAAAACUCACUCCAGAUAUGAAAUCCUCAUAUACUGUACAAAGUUCAAGUUCCCCAGUUUACCCCAUUCACACCACUCCUGCCUACAUAAUCAUGAACUGCGCUACAAUAGAAGGCGCACUCCUAGGGUCCCAAGCUAAAACAAGAGGUCGCGCAUCCCGUUAUCAUGGCCCAAACUAAACUCAUGUCCCUGAAUGUACGGGGACUAAACUCCCCCAUGAAGAGAACGAUGCUAGCACACGAAAUAGACAGGCAGGGAGCUGACUUAGUCUUCCUGCAGGAAACCCAUUACAGGGGAGAGUUUAAACCGAAACUUAGAUCAAAACGUAUUCAAGUGUCCUACUAUAGCAACAAUGUUAAACAGAAAUCUAGGGGUGUGGCGAUUUUGAUUGCAUCCACCGCAGCCUUUACCGAGAUCAGCGUCAAAACUGACCAAGGGGUAGGUUUGUGUUUGUGAUGGGGAUAUACAAUGGAGUUCUUACAACACUGGUGAGUGUUUAUGCUCCAAACUCAGACCAAGUACCCUAUAUACGCUCUUGCCUAGCCAAGUUAGAAGGUUUUGUUGAGGGAGCUGUAAUUGUAGCGGGAGACUGGAACAUGGUGCUAGACCACUCAAUAGACAGUUCAUCUAAGACUACAGACCCUCGACACCGCCAGCGGACACUGUUCUCCAACGUGCUCCACGCCCAUCAAUUAAUGGACAGCUGGCGCAUAUUACGCCCUCAAGAGAGGGACUACUCCUAUUACUCCCGGGUAGCGAACAGCUACUCCAGAAUUGACAUGUUUUUCCUCAGCCAUAGACACCUUCCCCUACUGAGCGAAGCAUCAAUAGGCAACAUCACGUGGUCGGACCAUGCCCCAGUUUUCUUAUGUCGCCCUUCAGAGAGAUCCCAAAUAUACCACACACUGGCAACUGAACGAGACCCUGCUAGAUGACCUGAGACAGACAAUAGGCAACUACUUCACAGACAACGACACAGGAGUGGUAUCCUACCAAUGGGUCUGAGAAGCACACAAGGGACCUGCGAGAGGCACCCUAAUUAAUAGGAUCAAGAAUUAAGAAAGAACGCACACAUAAACUUAACUCCCUUACAACGGCCAUACACCUCGCUGAAUCCCUGCACAAACAGGACCCUACAACCGAGAACUUCCAGAAACUCACGGCC